CCUCGGGACAGUUCCCACACUGCAGUGCCUCUGGUGAGGAGACAGCGCCACUGAGGCUCCCUAACUUUACUCCACGGGAGAACCAGGCUGAGGACUUUGGCAGAUGGGCUCCUGGGGAGAAAAUAAAGACUGGGAACUGGCUGAGGAGCUUCCUGCGGGUCUCAGGGGUACCUGCUGACAUGACAGGAAGAAGGGGUGGAAAGGAGCCCUCGUCUUCUAGUCUAGUUGGGGAAUGGAUAUGGAGACCAUCUGUGGGAGGGCUGGCUGAAGAAGUGAUGAGUGCACCUGAGCAGGAUAGGCAGCCUGAGCCAGCCCUCCACCCUUCAGCUGGGACAGGGCCUUCCGGAUGGUGUUCAGCUCCUGAAUUGUGGCUCCACGGGCUGCCAGCAGCUUGGUGAGCAUCUGUUUCUCCUCCAGUGUGACAGGUGGGAUGGGAGCAGGCAGCAGGGCUGAGCCCCCACCUGCAGAGCCAGUGAGGGUGUCAGGAAGAAGAGACGGGAACCAGAUAGACCACAGGGGAGGGGGGAUGUGGACUAAGACAGUGGAGUUACAGUGCCCCCCUGUGGACAUGGAGUGAAGUUGUCCCCUCGCUGGGGUACUCCAGACCCCAGAAGAUGCUAGAAGGGCUGGGGAUAUAGCUCAGUAGUGGAGUGUUUGUCUAGUCCGU